UUCUCUGGUUUAUUCAAAAAACAUAGUCUAAAGAGUAUUAUUUUAGAUAAAACCUGCCCAAUGCUCAAUAAAUAGAAGUGAAUGGCCGCAGUACCCUGACUGUGCUAAGGUAGCGUAAUCAGUUGGCUUUUAAAUGGAGUCGUGUAUGAAUGGGUUAAUGGGGUAGAGCUGUCUCUUUUAGGUUUAAUUGAAUUUAGUUAGAAGGUGAAAAUACCUUCAAGUAGAUAAAGGACGAUAAGACCCUAGGAGUUUAGCUAAAGAGGCUUAAAGAUAAGUCUUACAGUUUUGCUGGGGCGGCGUAGAGGCAACUAUAACCCUCUUUAAUAGUAAGCCGAGUUUAUUAAGCGAAGAUAAACUACCCUAGGGAUAACAGCAUAAUUCUUUCAAGAGUUUGUGACCUCGAUGUUGGACUAGGAAUUAAUCAGGCUAGCCGCUUGAAUAUAUUGUUCUGUUCGAACUGGAUUUCCUACGUGAUCUGAGUU
rnacentral:rRNA from 1 species